CGAAUCCUCCAGUCGAGCGGCGAACGGGUGAGUAACGCGUGGAUGACCUGCCUUUUGGUGGGGAUAACCCGGGGAAACUCGGGCUAAUACCGCAUGAGAUCGAAAGAUGAAAGGGGCGCAAGUCCCGCCGAAAGAGGGGUCCGCGUCCGAUUAGCUAGUUGGUAGGGUAAUGGCCUACCAAGGCGACGAUCGGUAGCCGGCCUGAGAGGGUGAUCGGCCACACUGGAACUGAGACACGGUCCAG
rnacentral:rRNA from 1 species